AUCUUUCACCUCUUUUUUGCCCUUUCCUUGUUCACAAGAGCCUCUCCUCUCUUUCUAUCUUUCAACAAUUUGUUUUACCUUUUCUAUUCAUUUCUUUUUUUUUCCCAUAUUACAAAAAAGGUUCUUAAUUAACAAACGACGCAAUGAAAAUGUCAUUCACAUAUAUUUGAAUGGGAGAUUUGUAAAAUCAACAAUUUAACAGUGUUUGUUUGCUUAAGUUGUACAAUAAAAACAAACAAGCUUUUACUUGACGCUAUUACUUUCAUGUUCCAACUCCAACACAUCACCUGAUUAAAUCUUUAAAUUUACCUCUCUCUCUUUUUUUUUUGCUAGAUAAAUCAGAGGCUAUGAUAGCUUUGGUUCUGGUUUCGAGAGAUCGGCUCUCAUUAUGAUAGGAGGUGGUGGAUGUUAUUUUUGGAUUGGCUUUGGACGUCCUUGGGCUUAGACUCCGGAGAUUUCUCGUUUUCCUCCGGCUAUUGAUUCCGAAGACUUCUACUGCGUCUGUCGGCUUUAGUUUCCCUCUUUUGGGCUUUAGUUUCUCUCGUUUGUGCUUUAGUUUCUCUCGUUUAGGCUGUGUUUUCACCAAGUUUAUCAUUAAUAAAAUCAGUUGACAAAAAAAAA